AGCCCUCAGUGCAACGCUUUAAUUACUCGUAUAAAUUACACUUGGCUGCUCAGAAUUCUUGAGGUUGAUUAAACAAAUGUGUUUCACCGUUUUUUUUUUCCUUACUUUUCCCAGUGUUUCACAGUCGCUAGGGAGAGUGAAGAUGAGCUGUACGGGAAGAAUGAGGAGGGUGAGAUUAUAUCAAUCACACAGGAAGAGACGAUGAGACAAACAGCGAGAUAAAUUCAGGAAGUAGAGGGAAAGAACGUGGACUACUUACACGGUCAGCUAUCUAGCUUAUCCAGAAAUAACCACACAGUUUUCGUACAAUUCUGGAUUAUUUAUUUGGUGAUAGCGGUGUUACGGCCCGCCCGUAACAUACUCCACUACCAUCACCUCCUCCGCUUGCUACCUCGUUCGCCACCUCUCCACCUCCCCUCCACGUCACCGUCUCAUGAAGCCCUGCUCCUGUCCCGAAGUAGGAUUCACGCUGCCCCAUUUAACUCAAGCGGAAGUGUUAAGCGAGCUCUCUUUAUUUUUGGAAGGCGCUCGAGGUCAAGGCCUCAACCAGUGAACACAACGCCUCUUGGAAUACCGUGGGAUCCACAUCACCCGGCAUUUCACCAGUGCGGCACCUCAUAAGUAAUUUCCGGACGCCAUACUCACCUCAUUGAGCGACACGCAGGCAACAGGUGACUCAUUACUACCCCUGACCCGCCUCUAUCCCUUCCACCCCCCCACACAUCAGUGAUCUCCCGCACCUGGCAAGCCCCAUACAUUACAAGACGCCCAGCGCGCCUCCCUCCCCAGUGCCGAGACAACAUGGGCGUCCUUCUCUACCUCUGGCGGCGGCUCUCUAGCGAUUGAGCCGGCACCAACAACAGCACACGUCGGGAAUGGUGAGUAGGAUGUGUACUUUUGUAUAUUUGUGUAUUAUUUACGAGAUUUAGAUAAUGUCUUUCACUCUGUCUGAGAUGCGGGCCUGUCUCCUGAGAACAUCAAUAACUCCACAUUUGUUCUGGCCGCCUGACAGUCAUGCCUGACCUUUCAUGAUGUUGUCCGUGUCUUUGUGAGCAUGGCGCCGCGGAGACGGUGUUCAACUUCAGAAAGUUAUACAGUUCACAGACAACGGAAGCGUUUGCGCAGCCACCAGCCCCA
rnacentral:lncRNA from 1 species